GACGGUGACAGAAAGGACAAGGACACAGUCAAAGAAGAAGAAGAAGAAGAAGAGACAGACAACGAGAGAGAGCUACUGCAACUGUCGAGGAAACAUCGUCACUUCACUUCAAAAUCUGAAUGAUGGUCAGAUUCAGUUUUGGAAAAGAAAGCGGAGGAGAACAGAGAGCAUUCAAAAUGAUCGCCAAGACUUUGGUCUUUGUUGUAAUACUGAUUGCAUCCACCAGCCCGACAGCAGAAGGAAGCCUGAAACUCAGGUGUCCCAGAAGUGUAAAUCCAAGUGCCCCGACAUCCACCACAGCUGGUCCCACAGCUGGUCCAACAACUGGUCCCACAGCUGGUCCCACAGCUGGUCCAACAACUGGUCCAACAACUGGUCCAACAACUGGUCCCACAGC